rnacentral:rRNA from 1 species
UACGAAGGGUGCAAACGUUGCUCGGAAUUAUUGGGCGUAAAGCGCACGUAGGCGGCUCUGAAAGUUGGAUGUGAAAUCCCUCGGCUCAACCAAGGAAGUGCACCCGAAACUGGCGAGCUUGAGUACGAAAGAGGAUCGCGGAAUUCCCGGUGUAGAGGUGAAAUUCGUAGAUAUCGGGAGGAACACCGGUGGCGAAGGCGGCGAUCUGGGUCGAUACUGACGCUGAGGUGCGAAAGCGUGGGGAGCAAACAGG